rnacentral:rRNA from 1 species
CUCUUAAGAUUGAGCUGUGAUGGGGAGAGGAACUUGUUCCUCGAGUCGUUGAUUUCACACUGCCGAGAAAAGCCUCUAGCUAGAAUAACGGUGCCCGUACCGCAAACCGACACAGGUAGUCAAGAUGAGAAUUCUAAGGUGAGCGAGCGAACUCUCGUUAAGGAACUCGGCAAAAUGACCCCGUAACUUCGGGAGAAGGGGUGCUCUUUGAGGUUCACGCUUCGAAGAGCCGCAGUGAAUAGGCCCAAGCGACUGUUUAUCAAAAACACAGGUCUCUGCUAAACCGUAAGGUGACGUAUAGGGGCUGACGCCUGCCCGGUGCUGGAAGGUUAAGAGGAGUGGUUAGCGCAAGCGAAGCUACGAAUCGAAGCCCCAGUAAACGGCGGCCGUAACUAUAACGGUCCUAAGGUAGCGAAAUUCCUUGUCGGGUAAGUUCCGACCCGCACGAAAGGCGUAACGAUUUGGGCACUGUCUCAACGAGAGACUCGGUGAAAUCAUAGUACCGGUGAAGAUGCCGGUUACCCGCGACAGGACGGAAAGACCCCGUGGAGCUUUACUGUAGCCUGAUAUUGAAAUUCGGUACAGUUUGUACAGGAUAGGUAGGAGCCUUAGAAGCGUGAGCGCUAGCUUACGUGGAGGCAUUGGUGGGAUACUACCCUAAUUGUAUUGGAUUUCUAACCCGCAGCACUUAUCGUGCUGGGAGACAGUGUCAGGCGGGCAGUUUGACUGGGGCGGUCGCCUCCUAAAGAGUAACGGAGGCGCUCAAAGGUUCCCUCAGAAUGGUUGGAAAUCAUUCAUAGAGUGUAAAGGCAUAAGGGAGCUUGACUGCGAGACCUACAAGUCGAGCAGGGUCGAAAGACGGACUUAGUGAUCCGGUGGUUCCGCAUGGAAGGGCCAUCGCUCAACGGAUAAAAGCUACCCCGGGGAUAACAGGCUUAUCUCCCCCAAGAGUUCACAUCGACGGGGAGGUUUGGCACCUCGAUGUCGGCUCAUCGCAUCCUGGGGCUGUAGUCGGUCCCAAGGGUUGGGCUGUUCGCCCAUUAAAGCGGUACGCGAGCUGGGUUCAGAACGUCGUGAGACAGUUCGGUCCCUAUCCGUCGUGGGCGUAGGAAAUUUGAGAGGAGCUGUCCUUAGUACGAGAGGACCGGGAUGGACAUACCUCUGGUGUACCAGUUGUCGUGCCAACGGCAUAGCUGGGUAGCUAUGUAUGGACGGGAUAAGUGCU